rnacentral:rRNA from 1 species
UUUGAUCCUGGCUCAGAAUCAACGCUGGCGGCGUGCCUAACACAUGCAAGUCGAACGCGAAAGUGGAGCAAUCCAUGAGUAGAGUGGCAAACGGGUGAGUAACACGUGGGUGACCUGCCUUCGAGCGGGGGAUAACGUCCCGAAAGGGACGCUAAUACCGCAUAACAUCCUGCCUUUGAAGAGGCGGCGAUCAAAGCUGGCGCAAGCUAGCACUCGGAGAGGGGCCCGCGUCCGAUUAGCUAGUUGGUGAGGUAACGGCUCACCAAGGCAACGAUCGGUAGCCGGCCUGAGAGGGCGGACGGCCACACUGGGACUGAGACACGGCCCAGACUCCUACGGGAGGCAGCAGUGGGGAAUUGUUCGCAAUGGGCGCAAGCCUGACGACGCAACGCCGCGUGGAGGAUGAAGAUCUUCGGGUCGUAAACUCCUUUCGAUCGAAACGAACGGCCUCCGGGUGAACAAUCCGGAG